CUACGGGGGGCACCAGUGAGGAAUAUUGCACAAUGGAGGAAACUCUGAUGCAGCAGCGCCGCGUGGAGGAUGACGCAUUUCGGUGUGUAAACUCCUUUUAUAUGUCAAGAAAAUGACGGUAGCAUAUGAAUAAGCACCGGCUAACUCCGUGCCAGCAGCCGCGGUAAUACGGAGGGUGCAAGCGUUACUCGGAAUCACUGGGCGUAAAGGACGCGUAGGCGGGUUGGAAAGUCAGGUGUGAAAUCCUACAGCUUAACUGUAGAACUGCACUUGAAACUUCUAAUCUAGAGUAUGGGAGGGGGAGAUGGAAUUAGUGGUGUAGGGGUAAAAUCCGUAGAUAUCACUAGGAAUACCUAAAGCGAAGGCGAUCUCCUGGAACAUUACUGACGCUAAGGCGUGAAAGCGUGGGGAGCAAACAGGAUUAGAUACCCCAGUAGUC
rnacentral:rRNA from 1 species